UCUGAGAUCCAGGCAGGGCCGAGGCUGGGGGUCUGAGAUCCAGGCAGGGCUGAGGUUGGGGGUCUGAGAUCCAGGCAGGGCUGUGGCUGGGAGUCUGAGAACCAUGCGGGGCCGAGGUUGGUGGUCUGAGAUCCAGACAGGCUGAGGCCGGGAGUCUGAGAUCCAGGAGGGGCUGAGGCUGGGAGUCUGAGUUCCAAGCAGGGCCGAGGCUGGGAGUCUGAGGUCCAGGCAGGGCUGAGGCUGGGAGUCUGAGGUCCAGGCAGGGAUGAGGCUGGGGGUCUGAAAUCCGGGCAGGGCUGAGGCCUGUGGUCUGAGAUCCAGGCGAGGCUGAGUUUGGGCGUCUGAGAUCCAGGCAGGGCCGAGGCUGAAAGUCAGAGAUCCAUGGAAGGCUGAGGCUGGGAGUCUGAGGUCCAGGCAGGGAUGAGGCUGGGGGUCUGAAAUCCCGGCAGGGCUGAGGCCUGUGGUCUGAGAUCCAGGCGGGGCUGAGUUUGGGGGCUGAGAUCCCGGCAGGGCUGAGUUUGGGGGUCUGAGAUCAGGCAGGGCUGAGGCGGUGUGUGAGGCCCAGGAAGGGGCAGAGGCUUGUUCCUCCUCUGUCCCGUCUGUGUGUUUGCUCAUCCUCUCUUCUUAGAAGGACCCCAUCCCCUUGGGUCAGGCCCAUCCUAACGACUCAUUCUACCAUAAUCCCCCGUUUAAAGACCCACCUCCAAAUCAAACGCAUUUUGGGGGCCGAGGGCGAGGGCUUCACCGUAUGAGUUUUGGGGGGCGCCGAUCAGCUGGCCUGAGGCUUGUGGCUUUCGCUGAGCCCCGUCCAGCUCAGCAGGAAGGCUGCGGCACAGACAGAGGCUGGAGCUGGGCCCGGGGGACGUUCCCCCUGGUUACUCAGCUGUGCUGGCCGUCCCCCUGCCUGUGGCGUUUCCCGCUCUGCGAGCCCCCUCGGGCUCAGAAGUCGUCUCCCUUGUGGUUCUUGUGUAUCACUUGGAGCCAUGUUUGUACUUUUGCCAAAAGCCUUUCACUCACAAGGCGUCGCGCAUUUCCCCUGAUACUCGUGUGGAAAAGCUAGUUGUAUCGUUUCCGUUUUCCAGGUGAGGAAAGGGUCCUGGGAGGGUGGUUGGUUUGGCGAAGGUCUCCCAGGGAACAGGUGGUGAGGCAGGAAUCUGAACCCGGGUCCUGAGGCUUUGGGUGUGUGCUCAUCCUCCAGGGGGUGCAGGUAAAUCCCCAAAGGUUAAAAUCAGGUGUGUGACGGCAUGCGAGCUUGUGGGUGAGCACGUGUGUGUGCGUGUGGGCUAG